rnacentral:rRNA from 1 species
AACGAACGCUGGCGGCAGGCCUAACACAUGCAAGUCGAACGCCCCGCAAGGGGAGUGGCAGACGGGUGAGUAACACGUGGGAACGUACCCUUCGGUUCGGGAUAACUCAGGGAAACUUGAGCUAAUACCGGAUACGUCCGAGAGGAGAAAGAUUUAUCGCCGAGGGAUCGGCCCGCGUCUGAUUAGCUUGUUGGUGAGGUAACGGCUCACCAAGGCGACGAUCAGUAGCUGGUCUGAGAGGAUGAUCAGCCACAUUGGGACUGAGACACGGCCCAAACUCCUACGGGAGGCAGCAGUGGGGAAUAUUGGACAAUGGGCGCAAGCCUGAUCCAGCCAUGCCGCGUGAGUGAUGAAGGCCCUAGGGUUGUAAAGCUCUUUUACCCGGGAAGAUAAUGACUGUACCGGGAGAA